AUUGAACGCUGGCGGCAGGCCUAACACAUGCAAGUCGAGCGGAUGAAUGGAGCUUGCUCCUGGAUUCAGCGGCGGACGGGUGAGUAAUGCCUAGGAAUCUGCCUGGUAUUUGGGGAUAACGUCCGGAAACGGGCGCUAAUACCGCAUCCGUCCUGAGGGAGAAAGUGGGGGAUCUUUGGACCUCACGCUUUCAGAUGAGCCUAGGUCGGAUUAGCGAGGGGGUGGGGUAACGGCCUACCAAGGCGACGAUGCGUAGCUGAUCUGAGUGGAUGAUCGGCCACACUGGAACUGAGACAGGGUCCAGACUCCUACGGGAGGCAGCAGUAGGGAAUCUUCCGAAAUGGGCGAAAGCCUGACGGAGCAAAGCCGCGUGAGUGAGGAAGGUCUGCGGAUCGGAAAACUCUGUUAAUGGGGAAGAAAAAAUGUGUAAGUACCUAUGCACGUCUGGACGGUACCUAAGCAGAAAGCCACGGCUAACUACGUG
rnacentral:rRNA from 1 species